AGAAUCAACGCUGGCGGCGUGCCUAACACAUGCAAGUCGAACGAGAAAGUGGAGCAAUCCAUGAGUAAAGUGGCGACCGGGUGAGUAACACGUGACUAACCUACCUUCGAGUGGGGGAUAACCUCGGGAAACCGGGCUAAUACCGCAUAAAAUCUUUGGAUCGGAAGAACUGGAGAUCAAUGGAGCAAUUCGCUUGAAGAGGGGGUCGCGGCUGAUUAGUUAGUUGGCGGGGUAAUGGCCCACCAAGACGAUGAUCGGUA
rnacentral:rRNA from 1 species